ACACGUAGGGGGCGAGCGUUGUUCGGAAUCAUUGGGCGUAAAGGGCGUGCAGGCGGUCCUGCAAGUCCGGCGUGAAAGACCCCGGCCCAACCGGGGGGACGCGCUGGAAACUGCGGGGCUUGAGUACAGGAGGGGAUGCCGGAAUUCCAGGUGUAGGGGUGAAAUCUGUAGAUAUCUGGAAGAACACCAAUGGCGAAGGCAGGCAUCUGGCCAUGUACUGACGCUGAGACGCGAAGGUGCGUGGAGCAAACAGGUUUAGAUACCCUGGUAGUCCGCACAGUAAACGAUGUGCACCAGGUGGCGGGGGGUCGACCCUCGGUACCGUAGCUAACGCAUUAAGUGCACCGCCUGGGGAGUACGCUCGCAAGGGUGAAACUCAAAUGAAUUGGCGGGG
rnacentral:rRNA from 1 species